GUGCUUGCUUUGGCAGCACAUAUAUUAAAAGUGGAACAGUGGAGAGAAGAUUAGCAUGGCCCUUGUACAAGAAUGAUAGGCAAAUUAAUUUUUU
ensembl:snRNA U6 U6 spliceosomal RNA